AUGUCACAAUUUUGGUGGGGUGACGAGGACAAUCAGAAGAGGAUGCAUUGGAUGACGUGGUGGAAGAUGUGUGUCCCAAAAGACCAAGGAGGCAUGGGCUUCCGAGAUAUACAUUGUUUCAAUCUGGCUUUGCUAGCCAAACAGGCGUGGCGUUUGCUUGAUAAUCCAGAAUCAUUAUGUGCUACAAUCUUCAGAGCAAAAUACUUCCCAGAUGGUGAUUUAAUGAGUGCAAAUCUAAAGAAGGGUUCAUCUUUUACCUGGCAAAGCAUUAUGGAAGGAGUUAAUUCCCUAAGGAAUGGUUACAUCUGGCGAGUUGGAAAUGGACAAAAGAUUGAUAUUUGGGAAGAUGCAUGGAUCCCGAAUUGUGCAAGUAGGAAAAUUAUUACUCCUAGAAGGAGGCAUCUUUUGUCAAAGGUAGUAGGAAAAUUAUUACUCCUAGAAGGAGGCAUCUUUUGUCAAAGGUGUCUGACCUUAUUGACCCAAUCAUGA
rnacentral:rRNA from 1 species